GUUGGGGAUGUACGGAUAAGUAUGCAACGCCAUCAAAAGCAAAUCUUACUAAGAAUUGUGCCAUGAUGGAACUCUAAAUUACCACGGAUGACCUGGAAAACCAAUGCUAAAUAUAAUGCUUGGGAUUAGACAUUGUUCAAAGUCAUAUCAGCAACCAGGAAAACUUGUCUCUGAAACAACUGUCUAAGGAAGUCUGAGCCCACAUAUUAGCUACAGUAGACCUAUAAUGCACAUAGCACAAUUGAUGGAAUAAUUGUUUGCUACAUCAUGUAAGAAUUCUACUCCAUCUUCUAGAACCC